UACGUAGGGUGCAAGCGUUGUCCGGAAUUAUUGGGCGUAAAGAGCUCGUAGGCGGUUUGUCGCGUCUGCUGUGAAAACCCGAGGCUCAACCUCGGGCCUGCAGUGGGUACGGGCAGACUAGAGUGCGGUAGGGGGAGAUUGGAAUUCCCGGUGUAGCGGUGGAAUGCGCAGAUAUCAGGAGGAACACCAAUGGCGAAGGCAGAUCUCUGGGCCGUAACUGACGCUGAGGAGCGAAAGCAUGGGAGCGAACAGG
rnacentral:rRNA from 1 species